AGUGAACGCUGGCGGCAGGCCUAACACAUGCAAGUCGAACGGCAGCACAGCGGUAGCAAUACUGUGGGUGGCGAGUGGCGGACGGGUGAGGAAUACAUCGGGAUCUACCUUUUCGUGGGGGAUAACGUAGGGAAACUUACGCUAAUACCGCAUACGUCCUACGGGAGAAAGCGGCGGACCGCAAGGCGUCGCGCGAUAAGAUGAACCGAUGUCCGAUUAGCUAGUUGGUGGGGUAAAGGCCCACCAAGGCGACGAUCGGUAGCUGAUCUGAGAGGAUGAUCAGCCACACUGGGAACUGAGACACGGUCCAGACUCCUACGGGAGGCAGCAGUGGGGAAUAUUGGACAAUGGGCGCAAGCCUGAUCCAGCCAUGCCGCGUGGGUGAAGAAGGGCCUUCGGGUUGUAAAGCCCUUUUGUCCCGGAAAGAAAGCACGGGAUUAAUACCCUCGUGUGAUGACGGUACCGGAAGAAUAAGCACCGGGCUAAACUUCGUG
rnacentral:rRNA from 1 species